rnacentral:lncRNA from 1 species
ACCACAGCUCACUGCAAUGCCAGAUCCCUAACCCACUGAGUGAGGCCAGGGGUGGAACCCACAUCCUCAUGGAUACUAAUCAGGUUCGUUACCUCUGUGCCAUAAUGGGAACUCCUGAUGAUACUUUUCUUGGUUGGCAUAUCCUUUUGUGAAUAUUGCUAAGUAUGGAUGCAUCACUUUUUUCAAUUUGAAAAUAAGACCAUAGCUAAAUAUGUUCCUUUACUUGGUAGAUAUGUUGGGGGAGAGAGGGCAGGACUUUGGGGAAGAAGGAUAGUUAGUCUCCCUCUGGAUUUUGGUACUUUAAAUAUUUGCUUUAUUUAGAACAUUUUUGUUUUGUUUUUUGAUGAUGAACUGUUUUUAUAGGUUACUUUAGUGAUCGCUUCUUGAUCUCAAGAUUAAGAAGACUCUUUGCCUUUGACUCUUUGUAUUUUUUCACACAGCCUUUCAGUCUAGGAAAUCAACAACCUAUAUUUUUCUCUAGUCUUUCAAUUUUUUUAUCAGUAACCAAAAGGAUUUAUGCUUUAAAGAAAAGACAUUUCUAUGCUGCGGGCAUUUCUGUCCAGCUACUGCAAGCAGCAUGUGGCCAGGCUUUGCCAAAGGCAGGGGGACACUUUAUUCCAGAUUUCCAUUUCAACAGAGGUCACUUCUGGAGCCUACACUAAAGUGUAAGUACACCCUCAGGUAACCAUUGGAAGAUAGUUUUUCUGUCUACCUUAGCUUAUUUUUGUUAUCCUAUGUACUUUCUAAUCACAGUUUCACCAUUAAGAACCCAGCCAAAAUGCUGUCCUUGCCAUGAAACUUAUUCUCAGGAGGGGUGCUGUAGAGAAAAAGUGAUGGGGAAUGGAUACAGAGGUAAUAGUGUUCUAACAAGGAUGACUGCAGAAAGCCUCACUUGAAAGUGAGGAAGCUAGCCAUGCAGUGAUCUGGGGUAGAAUGUUGCUGGCUGAGGGAAUAAUAGUAAGUGCAAAGGCUCCAGAGUGAAGGCUGCUAUUCUGAGAAUAGUAAGGAGGCCCGUAUGGCUAGCCAGAAAGUGAGAGAAAGAGCAGAAAAGACAUGGCAGACAGAUCCGACAGAGUGAAGGCUUUGACCCAUGGGAAGGACUUCAGAUUUUACUUUCAGAUGGGAAGCAUUUGGAGGGUUGUGAAGAGAGAACAUGAUCCUGACUUAGCUUUUGCAAAAUCACUGUGUCUCUGUAAUUGAGAAAAAGCCGUAGGGGGAUAGGAACUAGAGCAAAGGGACAGAAUAAGCCAAUUCAGUAAACCAGGAGACAUGAUGGCUCAGAUUGCAGCAGUACCAGUGGAUGGUGAGAGGUGGCCAGAUUCUGGAUGUAUUUCAAAGGUAGAGAUGAUAUGAUCUGUUGACUGGUUGAUGUGAUGUUUGAGAAAAGAGGAAUUAAAGAUGAUUCUCAGGCUUUUGAGGAAGUGGAGGUCUUUGGGAGAACUGGGUUUGUGAAAGUGACCAAGAGAACAGUUUGGGGUAGGUGAGUUUGAGAUGCCUUGAGAAUAAACCAUUGGAGGUAUAAGAGGCAGCCACACAUGUGAGUCUGGAGAAGAGGUCGCAGCUUUAGAUGUAAAUGUGGGAGUCAUUGGACCAUGGCAUGGAGCCAAAGCUGUUUUUAGGGGGCAGAAAAAAGUCAUACUUGGCCCCCUAAUAUUAAUGAGUAUCGGUCAUGCAGAAUUGGUCCCUUCAGAGUUGCCAUUGCCAUCUGCCUUGCAACUGGGCUCAGGACAGUUUGCACAUCAUAUAGGAUGGGUUAAGGAAUAGGAUUUCUGGGGAAACUUACAAGCCUGAGACAGCAAAAAAGAGGAGGUGUUAUUGCUUACUGCCUUGCUACUGGCAUCAUGAGAAGUGAGCCAGGGUUAGGAGAGUACAGAGACUGUACUGGGGGAGGGUUUUUAAAAGCAUAUAGAGCAACCUGCCACCUAGUGACCUGGGGCCUUUGGAUGUUGUAGUUUGUUUGGCUGGGAGGAAAAGCCAUUUUCUUCAGGAAGAUGAGUUCAGGCGUACCCCUUAACCUAGCCAGCUCAUCACCUGGGCAACCUGAUUGAGCUCCAGGGUCAUGCCAGUGUCUAUCUGGUGUCAGGUACUCAGAGCGGUGCUUUGGUGGAUUGGACAGGUAACAUCUGCUCUCAGGGAGCUUAAAUCUAGCAGGAUAAAUAGAUGUAAGCCAAACACAUUUCAUUCUGGGCAGUAUUCCAGAGAAAAAUUCUAGAGUAGGCACCAGGAGAGACUCCACUGAGGAUAAGACAUUCACAUGGAGACGGAGGAUGAAUAGGAGUCGGGUGAGGAAGCUGAGGGAAGAGCUAUUGUGGUUGAUGCACAGAAGGGAGGGGGAAAUGGGCACAGAAGAAACUGAAAAGAUGGCACAAACAUAGAUGUCUGAGUAACCAAGCAGGAGUCACAAAUGAAUAAGCAGCAGGUGGUAUUCAAUAAGGAGUGACAAGCAUUUGAGACAUGGACAGUGCAGGCCAGGCUGUACCUGCAGGCACUCGAAUUAUGCUUUUAAUCUCUGCAUUUGAACGAAUGAAUCACCUCCCCUGGCCCAUCAGCUGGGGGAGAAGGGAGUCUAUGUAUAGGAGAGAACAACCCAGAACAUCCCUCUGUGUGUUUCCCUGUGCAUUUUGACAGCACUUAGCACAGAAUCUUACUUUGCUCAAAACUUUGCAAUGGAUGGAGUGGUCUCGUAGAUGAAAUGCAGGCACUUGGCCUCUCAAACUAGAAUUCCCUGCCUAAACUGUCUUGAAUAGCUGGUCAGUUUCUUUGAGGCAGGACUGUCAUGGUUGCUUUUUCACACUCCAGAGCUCCUAGUCCUGGGGCAGGCAUGUAAUUGAUGUUUGUUUAUUGACUUCUCAAUAUUGAGAAAAGAGGAUUAAUUACUCAUUGAUUGUUGAAGGGAGAUGCCCACUGGCAUUGGAAGCUGAAACAAAACAAAUUUCAAAAGAAGCAAUAACUUACUUCCAUUCCUUAAUUUUUUUUUCCACACCUGCAGGCUCCCUGAGGUGAAGGUUGACAUGUUUUUAAUAGACUGCCCUAUACUAGUAGUUCUCAAAGAACGGUACCCAGAGCAGCAGCCUCAGUAUCAUAUGGGAACCUACUAGAAAAGCAAAUUCUCAGGCUCCACCAGAGCACUUCAGAAUCAGAAACUGGGGACCUUGUUUGAGAACCACUGCCUACAGACACACCUGGAGCUUUCUCCUCACACAAAAAGGACCAUUAUUUUGUGUUUAUAUAUGUAAUAUAAUGUGUAAUUAUAUAUAUUAUAUAUAUGGUAAAGCUAUUCCAGACAGACUGCAGUGAGGGCCUGUUUCCUUUUUGGAAAAGAAUUUUUGUUUAUGUGUUUUUUGGGUUUUGGUUGUUGGGUUUUUUUUUUUUUUUUAACCCAUCUUCUGAUAAGAAUUAGUGCUCUUCUAUGAAAUAAAUCUUAGCGCAUUGCCUUCCCUGUAUGAGCCUCUAUGAGUAACUAGUGUAUGAAUAGUCCACCAAGCCUGUGUGUGUCCUUCACACUGACUUGAGUGGAAUCAGAAAGGUUCUCCCAGGAGAGUUUAAUUCAUGCAUAAGUCAUGAGCAAUGAGACAAGUGGAACUGCAGGAAUAAUACAAUGGAUCAUAUUUUACAGAGAGUUUGUCUUUGAUUCUCUCAGCAAUUAAUUGAAUCAGACAGAGAGGUCAUUUGACCGUUUGGUAAUAGAAGCGUAACAUGAGCUGGCGUUCUGUUGAGUUCAUAUUCUUUCAUGCUUGCCUAGUCUCUGGUUCCCCUUCUGUGUCAAUAAUUUAAAGACCAUUUCUGUUUUUCUAAGAUGGGAUAAUAGUAGUACCUAUUUCAUAGAGUUAUUGUUAAAAGAAAAUGUGAAAAAAAUUUUUUCUUAAAAUGAUGCCUAGCAUUCAGUGAGAGUUCAAUAAAUGCUGGUUAUAUUGACUUUGUUUUGUGGAGAUAGUGAUCAGGGCCCAGGAGGCUGAUCACUAUUCCCAAAGUCACAUUGCAAAGAAUGGAACCAGUACUUGGACACAGCGCUUUCCCUGUCGCAGCUUCUAGGCAGUAUGAUCUACGUGCUGCCCACUGAUGGACUUCGCCAUGUUUCUUUAGGUCGCUGGUCUGCCUGAGUUGUACCCCUUGGUCAGUUCCUUGACUGUACUUUGCCUACUUCCUGGAGGGCUGGCUGGUGCACUGUGGAGUGCAUACUGGUUCUCAGUGGGGCUCCCUCUGUUUUUAGGGCCUCCAGAUUUAACAGCAGAACCUGUUGCAGGUGAGAGAUGGGUCUGGACUUGGGGAGAUGAGAAUCAGUGUUUAUGCCAUUAUGCCAGGAAAAUGCUCCGUCUUUUCCUUCAUGUGUUCUCCUGGUGAACUACCCAAGGGACUCUCCUCUGACUCAUAAGGCGAGAAAUUCAGAUACAACUCAUCUGACUGUGCUAGUGUUUCUGCUGCCAUGUCAGCUUCUAAGGAAAUCCCAAGUGUUGUGUUGGGUUCCACCUCAGAUAUACAGAAGCUUUUCUCUUUCCUUCUCUCCGUAAAAUAACCCAGUCCUCCCAGUCUCUUAUUCAGGGGCUGGCGUACAGCUGGGAUUGUGGUGUGGCAGGUGGCCCACAGGUAAUAGCAGUGUCCACGCUUAGGCAGCUCGGCACCAUGUCCCUUCUCUGCUCUCUUGUCCAUGUGGCAGAAUUGCCUUCCUUUUCAUUCACCUUGCUCUUUCUGUACCUUCCUUUUUCAUCAUAGUCACAACACUGAUAAAAUCAGCCUCUUUCUCUAGCCUCAGUCUUACCAUGAUUUGGGGAACAGAAGUAGUUCUGUAACCGGUCAUGUUUUUGUUCACACUUAUGUCAGAAGUUUCUUAGGCUUUUAGUUCAGUUUCUUUGAAGGUUGAAGGAGAAAAAAUUGGUGCUUGGGUGAGAAGCAAAGAAGAGGAAAAUACCUAGAAAACCAACAGAGGCAUUAAUGGAGGUAAAACCCUGCCAUUUAUCAAUAGCUUAACAUUGUCAAGGGAAUACUCUCAAUUCUUUUAGUAGAUUUCUUGGUAAUUUGUAAAUUUAUAUGUAAGUGGAAUUAAUAUUUUCCUCUCUGCUUUAUAUGUUCACACACAUCUCCUGGAGCCCCCAACUUCCUUGACUAAAUAAACAAAUGUACUGCC